rnacentral:rRNA from 1 species
CCUACGGGAGGCAGCAGUGGGGAAUAUUGCACAAUGGGCGAAACCCUGAUGCAGCGACGCCGCGUGAGUGAAGAAGUAUUUCGGUAUGUAAAGCUCUAUCAGCAGGGAAGAAAAUGACGGUACCUGUUUAAGAAGCCCCGGCUAACUACGUGCCAGCAGCCGCGGUAAUACGUAGGGGGCAAGCGUUAUCCGGAUUUACUGGGUGUAAAGGGAGCGUAGACGGCAGCACAAGUCUGGAGUGAAAUGCCGGGGCUUAACCCCGGAACUGCUUUGGAAACUGUGCAGCUAGAGUGCAGUAGAGGUAAGUGGAAUUCCUAGUGUAGCGGUGAAAUGCGUAGAUAUUAGGAGGAACACCAGUGGCGAAGGCGGCUUACUGGACUGUAACUGACGUUGAGGCUCGAAAGCGUGGGGAGCAAACAGGAUUAGAUACCCGAGUAGUC